rnacentral:tRNA from 1 species
GACAGCGUGGCCUAACGGAUAAGGCGUCAGACUUCGGAUCCGAAGGUUGCAGGUUCGAUUCCUGUCGCGGUCA